CCGCCACGCCGGAGGCCCGGAGAGACCUUGACAGUCCGCCGCCGCCAGGACGCCCGCUGCCCUGUCCCCGCCACUCCGCCAGGACGCCAGGUCAGCUGUUACCACUGACCAGCCGCCGGCGACUUGGAGUUGGAGAUCGAAGGACGACGGCCACAUCGGAAGCGUCGUGCAAUGUGAGUGAAAUUCGACCUCUUAAAAUGCAGAUAUAUAUAUCUAUAUCUAUGUGGGAUAUGUGAUUUAUACCAAUUUUGGCUUGUGAUUUAUGAUCUGUUCUUAUUGUAUUAGUGAAUGAUUAAUUGAUUAUAGUGUUCAAUUUUGAUUUCUGUAGAUGCCAGAACCAGAGGAUAAUAUUGAGUCACUGGCCACUGGGACUCAACUUGAAAGUUAGGAGACUCAGCCCAUGUCAAUGGUGCCAGUAGAGACUCAGACUCAGGUGCAAGGCGAAACUGAUGGCAAUAAAAAAGGGGAAGGGAUGGAGAAGGAGAAAGUAGAGAGGAAGGAGAUGGCUUCAAGGUCUGAGAUGUGGCAACAUUUUAUCAAGGUCAAGGAUGACAAAGGGUUUCUGAGGGCUGGAAGGUGCAAAUAUUGUCACCGUGAAAUUAAGGCUGACACAAGGGGACAUGGAACAUCUGCAUUGAAGAAACACUUUGGUACAUGCAAACGCAAUCCUCAUGUUUUCAACAAGGACUCGAAGCAAGGCACCUUGCAAGCAUGUCAUGGGGAAGCUCCUGCCACUUGGAGGUUUGAUCAAGAAGCACUUAGAGAUGCCUUUGCUGAGAUGGUAAUUGAAGAUGAGCAGCCCUUUUGUUUUGGUGAGAAGCCUGGCUUUAGAAAAUUUAUGUCCAAAGCAUGUCCUCGUUUCCAAGUUCCAUCUAGAAGAACUUGCACAAGGGACAUUGUACGCCAUUACUUUGAAGAGAAAGCCAAGCUCAAGAAGUUCUUCAAAGAUUCUUGUCAGAGAGUGUGCCUGACAACAGAUGCUUGGACUUCUCAGGUUCAAGAUGGAUAUAUGACUGUUACAACAACUUUCAUUGAUGAAAAUUGGAACUUGCAUAAGAAAGUAAUAAGUUUUUUCGUGGUAAAGGGUCACAAGGGGGAGGAUAUUGGGAAGAACUUGACAAGAUGCUUAGCUGAUUGGGGUUUGGAUAGAGUAAUGACUGUAACUGUGGAUAAUGCAAGUGCCAAUGACAGUGGUGUUGAUUAUUUGAGGAAGCAGCUACAGAAAACCAACAUUGCCAAGGGCAAGUAUUUGCAUAUGAGGUGUGCAGCCCACAUUGCGAAUCUAAUUGUAAGAGAUGGAUUGCAAGAAGUGGACCAAUCUAUUAAGUGUGUUAGGGCUGCUGUUAGAUAUAUCAAAAAUGGGACCUCAAGAUUGGUGAAGUUCAAAGAAAUUGCUCAAGAAGAGAAUGUGGACAGCAAAGCUUUUUUGAAACUUGAUGUGCCAACAAGGUGGAAUUACACGUAUUUGAUGUUGAAGGCUGCAAUUGUGUAUGAGAAAGUGUUUUUAAAAUUAGCUGAAGAUGACACAAAUUAUGUUAUUGAUUUGUCUGAAGUAAGAGAUGGUCCUGGGCAUCCUGAUGAAGAUGACUGGGACAAUGCAAAGAAGAUGGCACAAUUUCUGCAGCAUUUUUAUGACCUUACUGUUCGUAUUUCUUCUUCUCUCGAAGUCACUAGCAAUAGUUUCUUUCAUGAGAUAGGAGAAGUUCGUAUGUUGAUUCAAGAAUGGCUGAGCAGUGAAGAUUAUUUGCAAGUUUCAAUGGGGAAUAGAAUGAAAGAGAAAUUUGAUAAGUAUUGGGGACUUUGGCACACCAACAGCUAGGACAAUGAGAAAGGGCAGCAAUAAGAGCAAGAUAGGGAUAAAGGGCGAGGCAAAGGCAAGGGAAAGGAGAAGGAGAAAGAGAACAUCAAUUUAUUGAUAUUUGUGGCUGCAUUCCUUGAUCCAAGGUACAAGUUAUCUUUGUACACAAGGAUUAGUGUUGAAGAGAUAUUUGGUGAGGAAUCAGGUCAAUUGGUUUGGGCAUCAAUUACUACUUGUGUGACAGAGCUGUUUGAAGAAUAUAAGAACAUGUAUGCUCCAAAUGAAGAAUCUAUUCAAGUAGAUGAUGUUGAUAAAUCUAAGAGAGUAUGUAGAGGAAUGCUUAAAGAAAAGAUUGCCAAAAAGAUGAAAUUAAACAAUUGUUCUACCAGCAGCAACAAAUCUGAACUUGAGAAAUAUCUCUCUGAAGAAACAGAAGACCCAGAGUCAAAAAUGGAUAUUCUUGCUUGGUGGAAAGUCAAUUCAAACAGGUUUCUAGUUUUGGGUCACAUGGCUCGUGAUGUGCUUGCUAUACCCAUCACAACAGUAGCGUCGGAGUCCGCCUUUAGCACAGGUGGCCGUAUUUUGGAUGACUUCCGUACCUCUCGUACUAUGUUGUUUGCUGUGCAUUUACAGAGUGGAUAGAAGAAUAUGGCAGCAAAGGGAAAAAGAAUGAGCAGGCUGAGCAGCCAUCUGUGCCUGUCAGCAUAUCCAAGUCACAAACACCAAGUAGCAAUACUUGAAGGUAUGUGAUGUCAAAUAUAAAUGGAGUUUUUAUUAUGUUUUUCACAUAUGCUGUUGUGUGCACUCUCCACUGCCCAGAUUUGAUCUAUGAAUUUUGGACAGUUUGGACUGGAAGUUUGGAACUGGUUGCUGCCACUAGACGUCUAGACCUGGAGGCUGGAGCAUGGACCAUGGAGACAGCAUGACUGUGAACCAUCGUUUUGUUCUUGUGAAGUGUAAUGUGAUGGCACUUGUGAGUUGUGAAUUGUGAGCAGGCUGCAUGCAACAGGGAGUCAGGGAGCAGGCUGUCGAGAGUGACUGUGUGAGUGCAGACUGCAGAGUGCUCACUGGCUCACUGUGUGACUGUGUUUAUGGCUGUAGGAAGUAGAACCUAUUACCUAUGGCUGCGAUCUGUCAUCUGUGUGGCUGUGUUUAUGAAUGCACUGAAAUGUGACAUUUUGUU
rnacentral:lncRNA from 1 species